UACGGAAGGGGCGAGCGUUGUUCGGAAUCAUUGGGCGUAAAGGGCGUGUAGGUGGUUCUGUAUGUCUACCGUGAAAGCGUACGGCUCAACCGUAUUUAGUCGGUAGAAACUGCAGGACUUGAGGCUGGGAGGGGCUGGUGGAAUUCCCCGUGUAGCGGUGAAAUGCGUAGAGAUGGGGGAGGACACUCGUGGCGAAGGCGGCCAGCUAGACCAGUUCUGACACUGAGGCGCGACAGCGUGGGGAGCAAACAGG
rnacentral:rRNA from 1 species